rnacentral:rRNA from 1 species
UGGGGAAUUUUGGACAAUGGGCGAAAGCCUGAUCCAGCAAUGCCGCGUGCAGGAUGAAGGCCUUCGGGUUGUAAACUGCUUUUGUACGGAACGAAAAAGCUUCUCCUAAUACGAGAGGCCCAUGACGGUACCGUAAGAAUAAGCACCGGCUAACUACGUGCCAGCAGCCGCGGUAAUACGUAGGGUGCAAGCGUUAAUCGGAAUUACUGGGCGUAAAGCGUGCGCAGGCGGUUAUGUAAGACAGAGGUGAAAUCCCCGGGCUCAACCUGGGAACGGCCUUUGUGACUGCAUAGCUAGAGUACGGUAGAGGGGGAUGGAAUUCCGCGUGUAGCAGUGAAAUGCGUAGAUAUGCGGAGGAACACCGAUGGCGAAGGCAAUCCCCUGGGCCUGUACUGACGCUCAUGCACGAAAGCGUGGGGAGCAAACA